CGUAGGUAACCUGCCUGGUAGCGGGGGAUAACUAUUGGAAACGAUAGCUAAUACCGCAUAACAUUGACUAUUGCAUGAUAGUCAAUUGAAAGGUGGCAAAUGCACCACUACCAGAUGGACCUGCGUUGUAUUAGCUAGUUGGUGGGGUAACGGCUCACCAAGGCGACGAUACAUAGCCGACCUGAGAGGGUGAUCGGCCACACUGGGACUGAGACACGGCCCAG
rnacentral:rRNA from 1 species